rnacentral:rRNA from 1 species
AUUGAACGCUGGCGGCAGGCCUAACACAUGCAAGUCGAGCGGAUGAAAGGAGCUUGCUCCUGGAUUCAGCGGCGGACGGGUGAGUAAUGCCUAGGAAUCUGCCUGGUAGUGGGGGAUAACGUCCGGAAACGGGCGCUAAUACCGCAUACGUCCUGCGGGAGCAAGUGGGGGAUCUUCGGACCUCACGCUAUCAGAUGAGCCUAGGUCGGAUUAGCUAGUUGGUGGGGUAAAGGCCUACCAAGGCGACGAUCCGUAACUGGUCUGAGAGGAUGAUCAGUCACACUGGAACUGAGACACGGUCCAGACUCCUACGGGAGGCAGCAGUGGGGAAUAUUGGACAAUGGGCGAAAGCCUGAUCCAGCCAUGCCGCGUGUGUGAAGAAGGUCUUCGGAUUGUAAAGCACUUUAAGUUGGGAGGAAGGGCAGUAAGUUAAUACCUUGCUGUUUUGACGUUACCAACAGAAUAAGCACCGGCUAACUUCGUG